rnacentral:lncRNA from 1 species
GGGGCGUCUGUUUGUGGGCGGGGCUUGAAGGGAGGGGAGGAGCUGAGGGGAAAACUGGUUGUGAGGGGUAGAGUUUACAUUCAAGAUUUCUCCUAAAAACUGGAACGUCCUCAUAGAGCUGAUAUUAUAAACUGUCUCAUUCACUGUCACGGUUUGUGCCACAUGCUGAGAUCAAUAAGAGAAUCAAUAACCACAGAGAUAUGUGACGAUGAUCUAUCAGAGCAGCUCUAACUCGGUUUAACCAGUUUAACUAGUUUACCCAGUUACUGAUGAUCUGAGUCUCUGGAUCAGAGCGAGGAGCUCAUUAAACACAGUUAGAGUCUUUAUUUACUGUGAGCGAGAGUGUGUCCUCACAAGUGUGUGUGUGCGUGUGUGUGUGUGUGUGUGUGUGUGCAGUGUUAUUAUCUCGGAGCCAGCAGUGAUGCAGCGUCCCGGGUCACGGCGUCAGUGUCUCGUCCUCUCGCCUCUCAUGUUCCUGUCCAGAAAAUUUGCCAACGACUGAACAGCAGAGACACACAGAUCUGUCAGCUGACGUACGGUGAGCGCGCGCACACACACACACACACAUGCAUGAAUUUUUAAUCAUCAUCAUACUGACUUCUCUCUGAGCUGAGUCUGAUCAGCUGAAGUGUUUCUGUGGUUAUUACUUGUCGUUUGUUUACAGAGCGCAGUCUGAAGGACCUCAGCAGUGAGGGUCUGAGGAGUCUGAGGGUCUCCGAGCUGAAGGGGAUCUUGACGUCGUGGGGGGAGGAGUGUCGGGGCUGUUUAGAGAAACACGAGUUUGUGAGUUUAAUUCAGGAGAAAGCUGCUCUGCACACACACACCACAGAGCUUUAAAGCCCUUCACACAC